UACGGAGGAUGCAAGCGUUAUCCGGAAUGAUUGGGCGUAAAGCGUCCGCAGGUGGCUGUGUAAGUCUGCUGUUAAAGAGUGAGGCUCAACCUCAUAAAAGCAGUGGAAACUACACGGCUAGAGUGCGUUCGGGGCAGAGGGAAUUCCUGGUGUAGCGGUGAAAUGCGUAGAUAUCAGGAAGAACACCGGUGGCGAAAGCGCUCUGCUGGGCCGACACUGACACUGAGAGACGAAAGCUAGGGGAGCAAAUGGG
rnacentral:rRNA from 1 species